GGCUAAUCACCAUUGUCUGCAUGCAUACCCAGAUAGCAUGCGUAGUCGGGCCGAUUCUGGCUGAGGGUCGGCACUGUCGGCUUACUGUAUGUACGUCCGAUUACAACUAAGUGUGAUUUAUCGGGGCUAGUACAUUGCUUAUGCGCCACCCUGUAUAUAUGUAGGGCUCCAACAUUAUGAAAAAAUCACGUCAUGAUAACCGUAUAUCCAAAUAUCACAGUUUUCGAUGUAUCACGGAUUUGUCACCUUAAUAGAAUGAGAAACGUAAUAUGUAAUAUUAAGGACUAGGCUGGGAACCCUGGCCUGGUGUCGAGGCAAAAGUAUUCUAUCGGCCGCGAAACGUUAGAAAAUCUACAACUAAACCAAUAACCAACAAUACCGUUAUCUUGGGAUAUAUGGAUUAAGAUUAAUAUAUACAAUAAAAAAUUAUUAAGGCUGAAGUGUAGCUCUUAGAACAGGUAUUCGCGUUAACAACCGUAGCCAAAAAAUUGCAAUAAAAAUUUAUAUCUGCGUUUUAACAGCCGCUGUUUUAAAACGCGCGAGCAGGCGUUAGGUGACCAAUACAGACACUGCACUCUAUAGCACUGUAAUGAACUCCAGUUAACCAUAUUUUACUUAAUUAUUAAUUGUUGCGAAUUUUUAUGUGAAUUACUUAUGUAUACAUUACUGUAUUUUCUAAAUGAUUAUGGUAAUAUUCGAUCAACGUCUAAAUCGUCUAACGUCCUGUUUUACAGAACGUAAUGCAGACAUUAAACGGGGGAUACCUGUAGUUGCAGUUGUCAGUGGGGAGGUAGAAUGGUUUUUGCAAACAUGGAAUUUAUAUCACUUCCCAGUAUGGCAUUGCAGGAUCACAUAGCCAGCUACACUGAAUCUUGACACAAAACUGUCCUCGAAUACAGUAUGGUAGUAGUGUAGGACUGAUUAGAUUCAUUUGUGUAGAGAUAAGCGAUCCACAUAUUUUUGUAUCUGAAUCCAAUCAGGUAAAUAUAUUAAAAUAUCUAAAGGCAAAUGUGUUUUAUUUCCCCUCAUAUUUCCUUUUCUUCCCAGAGUGCACAGAAGUAACCCACACACCAUAUAAGGUACUUUAAAUAUGGAUAGACAUAAGGUUAGGAAAAAAGCUGUGGAAAAAAAGUGAACAUGUUUUUAGUAUCGCUUAUGAGUGAGAAUACAGAGGGCACUGAGACUGUGAUGGAAGGUUAUCAUACAAUCGGUGAUACCAGUGUAGAUCAAGCCUAUCCUUUCUAUCCCAGUCAAUCAGAGAGUGAGGGGGAGACCUCAGGGGAAUCUGAGAGUGCUUAUGCAGGGGGUGAUAUGAGCAGUUUGUCAUUGGUGGGCGCACUGAGUGACUGGGCUGUCAGGUUUGGUGUAUCUUUAGUUGCUUUGUCUGCCCUUCUGGGAAUUCUCAGAAUACACCACCCAUAUCUACCCAAGGAUGCCAGGACCCUACUCAAAACAAAAACCCUGUAUUGUGUGCAGAAUGUGGCUGGUGGUCAUUACUAUUAUUUUGGCAUUUUAAAAACCUUUGGCAAAACAAUGGAGAGGAUGUGGUCUGAAGUUACAGUACAUAUAAGUAAUGGUCUGAUUUGGAUGUGAUUUGGUACAUGUGCAGACCAGCCAUGGGACCAGCAGUGUGCCUAUUCUGCCAACUCUGUUGUCUGUGUGAUCUGAUAUUAUAAUCAUUGCAAUACAGUCACAUGACCUUUCACCACGUCCAGAUUCAUUUCCACCACUCCGUCUGGGUGCUUAACUUUUUUUGUCACUGAGUAUAUUUUGUUUAUUAUCAUCAACAGCUAUGUUCAAAAUUGUGGAGUUUAAGGAGACAAAUGAGGUAGAACUGGUCCCUGGUGUGUGGGUGAAAGAUGGUGUCUUAAAGGAAAGCAGUUGGAUUCAGCAAUGAAGCAUCAGGUCACUCCAGACCACAGCUGGAUACAGUGGGAAGUCAGAGUGAUGUUUAUAACAGAGAGUAAUGAGGAAGGGAGACGGAAAUGACGGGAAGCCGAACAGCGGUCAGACCUCCAGUCAGAAGCUGAAGAGUCUGGGAAAAAGAAAAGGAGAAAAAUGCCAAGUAGCAGACUUCUAGAUGCCACUAAUGGUGCUUCAAGUGAGAGUGAAGAAGAAGCAGGACUGCAGCAGAGUGACAGACGUCUACCUGAGGCCCCACCAAUCAGCCAAGUUAAAAUUUUAACACCAUUGCAGACUGCUAAUACUGGAAGUCGCAGUACUAUUCCCUGGCUGAAGAAUCCACCCCUCCCUCUGGAAAUGAUGUGGCAACCUACUGAUGCCCUACGUGGAGAGCAUGACCUAAACAAAAACCGUGCAGACUUGUUUUCCUCACCACCACCUCAUCCAGAGCCUUCAAAAGUUCAGAAGUCCUGGAUACCAUCUGAAGGUAAUAUUCAUAUAUUUCGUUAUUUAUGAAUGUUACUUCUCAAAAGGAUUAUUGUUAUCUGCAAACUAAAAUUUGGUGUUUAAAAUAGCAUAAUUAGCCAGUGUUAUAUUAGAAGGAGCAUUUAUUGUCCUGUGACGUUACCUUUUCAUUUGCCGUCGCUGACGCUGUGUAACAGGGCCAUUGU